UCAUAAAACUAGAAAUUACUC
rnacentral:piRNA from 1 species